rnacentral:rRNA from 1 species
UACGGGGGGAGCAAGCGUUGUUCGGAUUUACUGGGCGUAAAGGGCGCGUAGGCGGCCACGCCAGGUCAGUUGUGAAAUCUCUGGGCUUAACUCAGAACGGUCAACUGAUACUGUCGGGCUAGAGUGCAGAAGGGGCAACUGGAAUUCUCGGUGUAGCGGUGAAAUGCGUAGAUAUCGAGAGGAACACCUGCGGCGAAGGCGGGUUGCUGGGCUGACACUGACGCUGAGGCGCGAAAGCUAGGGGAGCAAACGGG